CAGCCGCCGCGGUAAUACGUAGGGUGCGAGCGUUAAUCGGAUUUACUGGGCGUAAAGCGUGCGCAGGCGGCCCGUUAAGACAGGUGUGAAAUCCCUGGGCUCAACCUAGGAAUUGCGCUUGUGACUGGCGGGCUCGAGUACGGUAGAGGGGGGUGGAAUUCCUGGUGUAGCAGUGAAAUGCGUAGAGAUCAGGAGGAACACCGAUGGCGAAGGCAGCCCCCUGGGCCUGUACUGACGCUCAUGCACGAAAGCGUGGGGAGCAAACAGGAUUAGAUACCCUGGUAGUCCACGCCCUAAACGAUGGGGACUAGCCGUUUGGUGCGCGAUAGCGCUGAGUGGCGAAGCUAACGCGUGAAGUACCCCGCCUGGGGAGUACGGCCGCAAGGUUGAAACUUAAAGGAAUUGGCGGG
rnacentral:rRNA from 1 species